AACGAACGCUGGCGGCAUGCCUAACACAUGCAAGUCGAACGAGACCUUCGGGUCUAGUGGCGCACGGGUGCGUAACGCGUGGGAAUCUACCCUUGGGUUCGGAAUAACAGUUAGAAAUGACUGCUAAUACCGGAUGAUGACGUAAGUCCAAAGAUUUAUCGCCCAAGGAUGAGCCCGCGUAAGAUUAGCUUGUUGGUGGGGUAAUGGCUUACCAAGGCGAAGACCUUUAGCUGGUCUGAGAGGAUGAUAAGCCACACUGGGACUGAGACACGGCCCAGACUCCUACGGGAGGCAGCAGUGGGGAAUAUUGGACGAUGGGCGAAAGCCUGGUCCAGCAAUGCCGCGUGAGUGAUGAAGGCCUUAGGGUUGUAAAGCUCUUUUACCAGGGAUGAUAAUGACAGUACCUGGAGAAUAAGCUCCGGCUAACUCCGUGCCAGCAGCCGCAGUAA
rnacentral:rRNA from 1 species